AACGAACGCUGGCGGCAGGCCUAACACAUGCAAGCCGAGCGCCCGCAAGGGAGCGGCGGACGGGUGAGUAACGCGUGGGAACGUGCCCUUUGCUAUGGAAUAGCCUCGGGAAACUGAGAGUAAUACCGUAUGUGCCCUUCGGGGGAAAGAUUUAUCGGCAAAGGAUCGGCCCGCGUUGGAUUAGGUAGUUGGUGGGGUAAUGGCCUACCAAGCCGACGAUCCAUAGCUGGUUUGAGAGGAUGAUCAGCCACACUGGGACUGAGACACGGCCCAGACUCCUACGGGAGGCAGCAGUGGGGAAUCUUAGACAAUGGGCGCAAGCCUGAUCUAGCCAUGCCGCGUGAGCGAUGAAGGCCUUAGGGUUGUAAAGCUCUUUCGUGGGGGAAGAUAAUGACGGUACCCCAAGAAGAAGCCCCGGCUAACUCCGUGCCAGCAGCCGCCGUAACAC
rnacentral:rRNA from 1 species